UUGAACGCUGGCGGCAUGCUUUACCCCUGCAAGUCGAACGGUAACAGGCCUUCGGGUGCUGACGAGUGGCGAACGGGUGAGUAAUGCAUCGGAACGUGCCCAGAGGUGGGGGAUAACGCAGCGAAAGCUGUGCUAAUACCGCAUGUGAUCUGAGGAUGAAAGCGGGGGACCAGGCAGCAAUGUUUGGCCUCGCGCCUUUGGAGCGGCCGAUGUCAGAUUAGGUAGUUGGUGGGGUAAAGGCCUACCAAGCCGACGAUCUGUAGCUGGUCUGAGAGGACGACCAGCCACACUGGGACUGAGACACGGCCCAGACUCCUACGGGAGGCAGCAGUGGGGAAUUUUGGACAAUGGGCGCAAGCCUGAUCCAGCAAUGCCGCGUGCGGAAAGAAGGCCUUCGGGUUGUAAACCGCUUUUGUACGGAACGAAAAGGCUCUGGCUAAUACCUGGGGCUGAUGACGGUACCGUAAGAAUAAGCACCGGCUAACUACGUG
rnacentral:rRNA from 1 species